UACGUAGGGGGCAAGCGUUGUCCGGACUUAUUGGGCGUAAAGAGCGUGUAGGCGGCCAGGUAGGUCUGCUGUGAAAACUCGAGGCUUAACUGAGGAAGUGCACCCGAAACUGAGUAGCUAGAGUACUAAAGAGGGUCGCGGAAUUCCCGGUGUAGAGGUGAAAUUCGUAGAUAUGCGGAGGAACACCGAUGGCGAAGGCAAUCCCCUGGGCCUGCACUGACGCUCAUGCACGAAAGCGUGGGGAGCAAACAGG
rnacentral:rRNA from 1 species